GUGAAUAUAGUUCAGUGGUAGAGCACUUGCCUACCAUGCACAAAGCCCUGGGUUCAAACCUUAGUACCCACU
rnacentral:tRNA from 1 species